GGUGCUAUAGUGUAGUGGUUAUCACUCGGGAUUUUGAAAUUAUCAGCUGAUGAUCCUUAGGUUCCCGAAACCCAGGUUCGAACCCUGGUAGCACCU